rnacentral:rRNA from 1 species
UGCAGAAUCCCGUGAACCAUCGAGUUUUUGAACGCAAGUUGCGCCCGAAGCCAUUUGGCUGAGGGCACGUCUGCCUGGGCGUCACGC